UACCGCAGCGGCAGAUUGAAACUAGG
rnacentral:piRNA from 1 species